AGUAGGGAAUAUUGGUAAUGGGCGAAAGCCUGAACCAGCAACGCCGCGUGUGCGAUGAAGGCCUUCGGGUUGUAAAGCACUUUUGACCGGGACGAGGAAGGACGGUACCGGUGGAAUAAGCCUCGGCUAACUACGUGCCAGCAGCCGCGGUAAAACGUAGGAGGCGAGCGUUAUCCGGAUUUACUGGGUGUAAAGCGCGUGCAGGCGGUUAGCUAAGUUGGGUGUGAAAGCUCCCGGCUCAACUGGGAGAGGUCGCUCAAGACUGGCUGGCUCGAGGAUGGUAGGGGAAGGUGGAAUUCCGGGUGUAGUGGUGAAAUGCGUAGAUAUCCGGAGGAACACCAGUGGCGAAGGCGGCCUUCUGGACCAUCACUGACGCUCAGACGCGAAAGCUAGGGUAGCAAACGGGAUUAGAGACCCCGGUAGUCCUAGCCGUAAACGAUGUGAACUUGGCGCUGGUCGGGUAAAACUGAUCCGUGCCGCAGCAAACGCGA
rnacentral:rRNA from 1 species